AGACAAAGACAGACAGACAGAGAAAAUGAGAUCAACAAGCACCUUGUCUGAGUCACUGAAGUUGGUUUGAUGGGCAAACCAAGAAAAAACAUCAAUUCAAUUCACUUUCUGAAUAGAGGGUAGCCACUCUCAAUACUCCAGUCUAUCCUUCAAUUAGAAAAAGCAGGACUCAGCAGGUGUCCUUAAAGGCCUCCUAGCCAUGAGGAGGAUAUGUGGUCAUCAACUAUAAUUUAAGACAUGACAGAAUGGACACACGGCAUAGACGCAUUAUCGUGUGACAACAGAUGGCGCUGUUUCCUUCCUAAAUGGCUGAUGAAAUUCACAACAUUUGGAAAGUAGGAUCCCUACACAGUCUGUGACAUUUAGCAUUUUCACACAUCCAAGUUUUCCUAGCACAGAUGCUUCAAGCUGGCUGGGAUUAUGCAGGACAACAUGUACAGAAGCGUUUAAUUCCACGCGCUCCAAACACAUAACUGCAUUACUAAAGUGGCUUGCUGUCACUUCACACAGCUUUCUGUUAAUUGAUUGUGUAACUUCUGGCAUAUCAUAACACACAGCUAUAACCCAAAUUGACCCUCAGAAAAAAAUAAAAUAAAUAAUUGAUAGAAAAGUCACGUCUCAAGGACUAGCGAGUACGCUUAUCUGUGUUUAAGCAUUCAACAUAGCUUCAGCCUUGGGAGAGAUAACAUUAAGCGGUAUCAGUGUCUAAUGUGUCUGUGUUUUAUCCAGACUUGUCGCCUGCUUCAAUCACGUGGGGACUGAGUGUUAUAACACUGUUGGUUCUCAUUCUGGAGGUGUGAGGAAAACACUGGCAAACAUAACUGUACGACACCAUGUGCUUGUGUACCUGACGUUGUCAUGCUUCUGGAUGUAGAUCUUGUGGAACAUCAUAUCCUCUUUCUUGACGUUGAUGUCUGCCUUCAUCUCCAUGGCAACGUGCCUUGGCAACACAGAAAGCAGCAGGCGCUCCUGGAUCAGAAGUGUACACAUACCUUUCUGGUAAGGAAGAAAUCCUCAAGGUUGAGUCUCCAUGCCAUAAUCAUAUGUAUGGUGGACAGCACAGCUCCAGUGAUCACAGCUGCUCUCAUUCGCACCGGUAGCAGUGUGUAGAUGAUGUAGAUGAAGAACACCGUCCACCAUAUCCCUUCAGACACACUGGGUGGAUCCACCAUCAACAAGCCAAACACCUGCACCACGACUAACACCGCCAUAAGCAAAUAGCUCACAAUCCACAUAUAGUCCUGGUGGAAGCCGUUUCUGUUACACACCACCA
rnacentral:lncRNA from 1 species